rnacentral:misc_RNA from 1 species
GAUGAAGAACGUAGCGAAAUGCGAUACGUAAUGUGAAUUGCAAAUUCAGUGAAUCAUCGAGUCUUUGAACGCACAUUGCGCCCCCUGGUAUUCCGGGGGGCAUGCCUGUCCGAGCGUCAUUGCCGCCCUCAAGCACGGCUUGUGUGUUGGGCCCCCGCCCCCCGGCUUCGGGGGGCGGGCCCGAAAGGCAGCGGCGGCACCGCGUCCGGUCCUCGAGCGUAUGGGGCUUCGUCACCCGCUCUGUAGGCCCGGCCGGCGCCCGCCGGCGACCCCAAUCAAUCUUUCCAGGUUGACCUCGGAUCAGGUAGGGAUACCCGCUGAACUUAAGCAUAUCAAUAAGCGGAGGA